GGAGGGCACGGCAGCCCUCAGCAGCUUGUGUGGGUCUCAGAGAAGUUCACAGCUGCUGUCUGUCUCUGUUGGGAGAGACAGGGUGGAUGCCAGGACAGCCAGCUCCGGGAGCAGCGUGUGGGAAGGACAGCUGCAGAGCCUGGUGCUGUCAGAAUAUGCGUCCACAGAGAUGAGCCUGCAUGCCCUCUAUAUGCACCAGCUCCACAAGCAGCAGGCCCAGGCUGAACCUGAGCGGCAUUUAUGGCACCGCCGGGAGAGUGAUGAGAGUGGAGAAAGCGCCCCUGAUGAAGGGGGAGAGGGCGCCCGGGCCCCCCAGUCUAUCCCUCGCUCUGCCAGCUAUCCCUGUGCAGCACCCCGGCCUGGAGCUCCUGAGACCACCGCCCUGCACGGGGGCUUCCAGAGGCGCUACGGCGGCAUCACAGAUCCUGGCACAGUGCCCCGGGCUCCCUCUCAUUUCUCUCGGCUGCCUCUUGGAGGGUGGGCGGAAGACGGGCAGUCGGCAUCAAGGCACCCUGAGCCUGUGCCUGAAGAGGGCUCGGAGGAUGAGCUACCCCCUCAGGUGCACAAGGUAUAGACAAGGCUGAGCAGGUUUCCUGUGGCCCAGGAUGGAGGCCACCGCUGCCCUGCCAUCCCGUCUGCCUGCCAUGGGACGGCUCCUCUGAGUGUUGCCUGGCCCCACGUGUGUGGUGUUUGUGUGUCUGUGCCUGGCCAAGGGAGGUGCCAACACUGGGCUUGCCACAGCCCCAGGAGAGGAAUUUGGGGCCUAGGAACUGAGGGCACACGGGACUCUAGCCUCAUCCCCAGGACCCCCU
rnacentral:sRNA from 1 species